rnacentral:rRNA from 1 species
GACGAACGCUGGCGGCGUGCUUAACACAUGCAAGUCGAACGGAAAGGCCCUGCUUUUGUGGGGUGCUCGGGUGGCGAACGGGUGAGUAACACGUGAGUAACCUGCCCUUGACUUUGGGAUAACUUCAGGAAACUGGGGCUAAUACCGGAUAGGAGCUCCUGCUGCAUGGUGGGGGUUGGAAAGUUUCGGCGGUUGGGGAUGGACUCGCGGCUUAUCAGCUUGUUGGUGGGGUAGUGGCUUACCAAGGCUUUGACGGGUAGCCGGCCUGAGAGGGUGACCGGCCACAUUGGGACUGAGAUACGGCCCAGACUCGUACGGGAGGCAGCAGUGGGGAAUAUUGCACAAUGGGCGGGAGCCUGAUGCAGAAACGCCGCGUGCGGGAUGACGGCCUUCGGGUUGUAAACCGCUUUAGCCUGUGACGAAGCGUGAGUGACGGUAAUGGGUAAAGAAGCACCGGCUAACUACGUG